UGAAUUUUCAAACUCGGGACCUGCAAGC
rnacentral:piRNA from 1 species